rnacentral:rRNA from 1 species
GACGAACGCUGGCGGCGUGCUUAACACAUGCAAGUCGAACGGUGAAGCUCCAGCUUGCUGGAGUGGAUCAGUGGCGAACGGGUGAGUAACACGUGAGCAACCUGCCCCUGACUCUGGAAUAAGCGCUGGAAACGGCGUCUAAUACUGGAUACGAGAAGGGUCCGCAUGGGCACUUUCUGGAAAGUUUUUCGGUUGGGGAUGGGCUCGCGGCCUAUCAGCUUGUUGGUGAGGUAAUGGCUCACCAAGGCGACGACGGGUAGCCGGCCUGAGAGGGCGACCGGCCACACUGGGACUGAGACACGGCCCAGACUCCUACGGGAGGCAGCAGUGGGGAAUAUUGCACAAUGGGCGAAAGCCUGAUGCAGCGACGCCGCGUGAGGGAUGACGGCCUUCGUGUUGUAAACCUCUUUCAGCAGGGAAGAAGCGAAAGUGACGGUACCUGCAGAAGAAGCACCGGCUAACUACGUG